UGAUGAGACACUGUAGAUGGCUGGGAGGCAUCUGUGAAAAUCAGUCAUUGUCUGAGGGGUUCUGAUGCGGUCACACUUCCUAUUGAUGGACCCCACACAGAGAGGGAAGUUCCACGAUCUGCAGAAAGCUUGUGCAGUAUUCAGCCACUAUGUGAAGGGCUGAUGCUGCUUUUCAACCAUGCAGGUCAUUUCUAAACGUUGUGGCCCCAUAAAGCAGCAGGUCGCCACUCUGUAUCCCCGUCAACAAGAGAACCAGACCCACUCGCAGCCCGCCCUUUAUCCUCCAGAGCGAGUGGAACCAGCGUCACUGUGAGCCCUGGAGGGGGAGGUGUGUUUUGUUGGGAUCUCGGGGUGCUGUGGACAUUCCUCUGAGCUCUCCCUGGGAAGGAGCGCACAAGCUGCUGUGAUGACGUACACAAGACAAUGGCGAGGAGCCAGUUUUACAGCUCCCUGCUGAUUUAAAGUGGGUGUGAAUGUGAGCUGCAGACAUUUAAACCGAGACAAAACUGGAAGAAAACACACAGAUCAUGUCAUCAAUCAGGGAAAUAUAGUCUUCGGGAAUUUACGCGGAAGGAGA